GUUCUUCACCUUCCAACUGGUCCGACAAGUUCUCUUCACUCUGAUAAUUUCAUACAGCCUUCUUAUGCAAGGACACAUUUAAAACGUGAUGGAUUUUCGACCCUUCAGUUAACUUUAACUUGUAUACUACAUCCUCAACUCUAUCAAUCACUAGAAACUAUAGAUUGUUUUUUAUGUGCUCUAAAUUUAACAAACACCCAUUCCUCAAUUUCAAAGGAUUUAUCAACUUUGUUAGCAUCUGCAUGUGCUUUCAUUCUACUUUGCUCCCUUAGGAAUUAUUCUCGCAAUUGCUGCAAUGAUUCAUCUCUAUCAUGUAAUUCCCAUGAAACCGCUUCAACACGUGUC